rnacentral:tRNA from 1 species
GCCGUUGUAGCUCAACUGGUAGAGCAACUGACUUGUAAUCAGUAGGUUGGGGGUUCAAGUCCUCUCGGCGGCA